UCCGUAGGCGGAUCCGUAAGUCAGUGGUGAAAUCUCAUAGCUUAACUAUGAAACUGCCAUUGAUACUGCGGGUCUUGAGUAAGGUAGAAGUAGCUGGAAUAAGUAGUGUAGCGGUGAAAUGCAUAGAUAUUACUUAGAACACCAAUUGCGAAGGCAGGUUACUAUGUCUUAACUGACGCUCAUAUGCGAAAGCGUGGGGAUCAAACAGGAUUAGAUACCCCUGUA
rnacentral:rRNA from 1 species